CUUACUUGCCAUUUCUCUAAACUAAAAAGCUCCAAAAGUUAUAACGAAAGGUUAUAACUUUUGGAGCUUUUUAGUUUAGAGAAAUGGCAAGUAAG